rnacentral:lncRNA from 1 species
UGUCUGAAGAUGUGCAAGGUUGAGGAAUGACUUCUGAGGCAUUGAAGUUUGAAUGAUCUCUUAAGUAUUUCCACACCCUUGAUUACUAAUUGGAUGCGUUGGUGGAGUUGGUAAGAAGUCUCAUUGCCAAAAGUAAAUCAUGUUUGCAGAAGCAUACUGCACUGCUGUAUUUGGAGAGUUGUUUGAAGAGGACACUCCCAGUCGGUGGUUGAAAGGAUGUUUUGUUUGGUCAAGGUAGCUUAGGG